GUAUUUGUGUGUACACUAAUAAUAUGAAUUGCACAGAGCCAAUAUCCUUCUUAACUUAAAUAAAUACACGGUAUAAAAUCGUUUAACAUUAAAAAUACUUUUACCUUAUUAGAGAUUACUAUAAUAAAUGAUAUGCUGAUGAUUAAACAGGUGUGUACGU